GUUAAUGCAGCUUAAAUGCUAAAGCAAGGCACUGAAAAUGCCUAGAUGGGUAUAUCAACUCCGUAAACA
rnacentral:tRNA from 1 species